rnacentral:rRNA from 1 species
CGGCCGCGUCGACGACGGAAGGGAAAGCUUGCUUUCCCGGAAGUCAGUGGCGAACGGGUGAGUAACACGUAGGUAACCUGCCCAUGUGCCCGGGACAACGCCUGGAAACGGGUGCUAAAACCGGAUAGGUAGAAAGAUCGCAUGAACUUUCUAUUAAAGGGGCUACGGCCCUGAACAUGGAUGGACCUGCGGUGCAUUAGCUAGUUGGUGAGGUAACGGCCCACCAAGGCGACGAUGCAUAGCCGACCUGAGAGGGCGAACGGCCACAUUGGGACUGAGACACGGCCCAAACUCCUACGGGAGGCAGCAGUAGGGUAAUUUUCGUCAAUGGGGGGAACCCUGAACGAGCAAUGCCGCGUGAGUGAAGACGGUCUUCGGAUUGUAAAGCUCUGUUGCGAGAGAAAAACGACACGGAUAGGG